rnacentral:rRNA from 1 species
UACAGAGGGGGCAAGCGUUAUUCGGAAUUAUUGGGCGUAAAGAGCUCGUAGGCGGUCCGUUGCGUCCGCUGUGAAAACUCGGGGCUUAACCCCGAGCCUGCAGUGGAUACGGGCAGACUAGAGGUAGGUAGGGGAGAAUGGAAUUCCCGGUGUAGCGGUGAAAUGCGCAGAUAUCGGGAGGAACACCGGUGGCGAAGGCGGUUCUCUGGGCCUUACCUGACGCUGAGGAGCGAAAGCGUGGGGAGCGAACAGG